rnacentral:tRNA from 1 species
GGUAUAGCUCCAGUGGUAGAGCACGUGCUUAGCAUGCACAAUAUCCUGGGUUCAAUCCCCAGUAACACCA